ensembl:snoRNA SNORD58 Small nucleolar RNA SNORD58
GGGCCGUGAUGAUGACUUAGGACACCUUUGAUUGACUCAUGAAACUCUUAAAUCAACGCUGAGCCGC